CGCGCGGUGGAGCAGUCCGGUAGCUCGCAAGGCUCAUAACCUUGAGGUCGGAGGUUCGAAUCCUCCCCGCGCUACCA
rnacentral:tRNA from 2 species